rnacentral:tRNA from 1 species
UGGUAUGUAGCUCAGUUGGGAGAGCAGAUAAUUUGAUAAACUAAUGUCGUUGGUUCGAGUCCAACCAUAUCAU